rnacentral:rRNA from 1 species
UACGGGGGGGGCAAGCGUUGUUCGGAAUUACUGGGCGUAAAGGGCUCGUAGGCGGCCAACUAAGUCAGACGUGGAAUCCCCAGGCUCAACCUGGGAACUGCGUCUGAUACUGGAUGGCUUGAAUCCGGGAGGGGGAUGCAGAAUUCCAGGUGUAGCGGUGAAAUGCGUAGAUAUCUGGAGGAAUACCGGUGGCGAAGGCGGCAUCCUGGACCGGCAUUGACGCUGAGGAGCGAAAGCCAGGGGAGCAAACGGG